rnacentral:lncRNA from 1 species
UCAAAUCAUCUUCAUCAAUACUUAAUUAUAUUCUUCUUUGUCACAUUAAUCCUCUACCACACUCAAGCUCUACAAAAUCAAAAUCAUGUCUGUGUUGACUAUGGGUGAUGAACACAGAGGCACACUCAAGAAUAUCUAGGCAUUUGUAUGUUAUCUCUCUCUUUUUACUUUUUCUGUUUUUAGUCUUAUACCUUUGUUAUCUAUGUUUUUCUUACUUCUUAUAGAGUUGUGUUUGUG